rnacentral:rRNA from 1 species
GCGUAAGAGCUCGUANGCGGUUCANCAAGUCGGGUGUGAAAACUCUGGGCUCAACCCAGAGCCUGCACCCGAAACUGCUGUGACUAGAGUUCGGUAGGGGAGUGGGGAAUUCCUAGUGUAGCGGUGAAAUGCGCAGAUAUUAGGAGGAACACCGAUGGCGAAGGCACCACUCUGGGCCGAAACUGACGCUGAGGAGCGAAAGCGUGGGUAGCAAACAGGAUUAGAUACCCUGGUAGUCCACGCCGUAAACGAUGGGCACUAGGUGUGGGUCUCUAACCAACGAGAUCCGCGCCGUCGCUAACGCAUUAAGUGCCCCGCCUGGGGAGUACGGUCGCAAGACUAAAACUCAAAGGAAUUGACGGGGGCCCGCACAAGCAGCGGAGCGUGUUGCUUAAUUCGAUGCUACGCGAAGAACCUUACCUAGGUUAAAUCAUUGGGAAAAGCCACAGAGAUGUGGUGUCCUUCGGGGCUCAAUGAANGUGGUGCAUGGCUGUCGUCANCUCGUGUCGUGAAAUGUUGGGUUAAGUCCCGCAACGAGCGCAACCCUUAUUCUAUGUUGCCAGC